UACGUAGGGGGCAAGCGUUGUCCGGAAUCAUUGGGCGUAAAGCGCGCGUAGGCGGCCGGAUAAGUCCGGUGUGAAAGUCACAGGCUCAACCUGUGAAUGCCGCUGGAAACGGUCUGGCUUGAGUCCGGAAGGGGCCAGUGGAAUUCCUGGUGUAGCGGUGAAAUGCGCAGAUAUCAGGAGGAACACCAAUGGCGAAGGCAGCUCGCUGGAACGGUACUGACGCUGAGGCGCGAAAGCUAGGGGAGCGAACGGG
rnacentral:rRNA from 1 species